GUCAACUUAAACACUUACUACAAUUUUUAUCUUAUGUUUAAAAGUAUUUCUACUUAUUCUCAAAACGUAAUUUUUAAAAAAAUUUUCAUCUUUUCCCUUUUAAAGAAUGCUGGAUUUUUAAAAAUUACAAAUCUAUUUAUUUAUUGGGUCUACAGUUAUAUAAUUUUCAUCCUUUUUCAAAAGUCUCCAACAUUAUAUUUGUUUUUUUCUAUUAUUGACUAGAAUUUAAUAUUUAAAUUGUAUUUAAAGUGUAUUUAAGAUUCUAGUAGUUCCAGUUUGGCUAUGAUACAUCUUAGGGUGAAUGCUAAGUAACAAUUUUAAUGUAUUUCCUUAGUUUUCUCAUACUUUCUUAUCAUAAAGUGAUGAGUUAUUGAUUUGCUUUUGUUAUCAUAAUGCUUUUCCAUAGCACAAUAUUUGUUUAUCUUUAUGUCCUUGAACAUGCUGACAUCUCUGAGUACCUUCUCCUUAUUAUGAAGUCAUCAUCCUUUAUCAUCUUGUCACAUUCUCCUGUAUGGUGCAUUCAUAUUCAUUCACAAAUGUUUUGGAAGUCACUGUAUUAGAUAUAGGAGAUAGAAAAAUGAGUCUUCAGAUCAAGAGGAGCUGUACUUGAGGAACCACUUCUGGGGAGCCUAAUCUGCAUUUGGACCUGAUUUAGAUAUUGAGGAACUCCAACCACCACAUCCAGGGCAUGAGGAAACCAAGCCACAUAGGGAGGCCAUGUAGAAGGACUCCCGUCCACAGUUCUAGACCCCAGCCGUUUGAGUUAUCCUUGCUGAGGCCAUGGGCGUUAUGCAGAGACAAGCCAACUCCACAUGUGCAUUAUGUCCAAACUCCUAAAUUGCAGGAUCCAUGAACUUAAUAAAAUACUUGUGGUUUAUACACUAAGCUGUGAGGUAGUCAGUGAAACAACGGGAUAACUUAAAAGCCACAUUAUAAGAAUCAUUAGACCUUUUGUUUUAUAGUAAAAGUGAAGAGGCUGGGUAAUGAGUAAAGUAUGAAUUUCAGUGGAAAAGUUUAUACACACAUUUUAGCUGUCUAAUGGUUUAUUUACUCAUUUAUUUGGUUUUAGGAUACUGAGUUAUGUGGCUAUAUCUGUGUUAUAGGUAGUUGAUGUGCCACUGUACUUUAGUUUGUACUGGUUAAUUUGUAAACGUUCUAUUUAAUUUUGUUCUCCUACUUGAUUAAAAACUCAAAUAUCA
rnacentral:lncRNA from 1 species